AUUGAACGCUGGCGGCAUGCCUUACACAUGCAAGUCGAACGGCAGCACGGGGGCAACCCUGGUGGCGAGUGGCGGACGGGUGAGUAAUGCAUCGGAACGUGCCCUGAAGUGGGGGAUAACGCAGCGAAAGCUACGCUAAUACCGCAUAUUCUGUGAGCAGGAAAGCAGGGGAUCGCAAGACCUUGCGCUUUGGGGAGCGGCCGAUGUCGGAUUAGCUAGUUGGUGGGGUAAAGGCCUACCAAGGCGACGAUCCGUAGCGGGUCUGAGAGGAUGAUCCGCCACACUGGGACUGAGACACGGCCCAGACUCCUACGGGAGGCAGCAGUGGGGAAUUUUGGACAAUGGGCGAAAGCCUGAUCCAGCCAUGCCGCGUGAGUGAAGAAGGCCUCGGUUGUU
rnacentral:rRNA from 1 species